rnacentral:lncRNA from 11 species
AACAAAACAGGAGGAUGAUCCUCCCUACAUGUUUUGCAUUGGUGUUGAAGUGAGUGAGACCACAAAUGUGAAUCAAAUAAGUCUUUGAUUGUAGUACACAUAAAAGCGAAUGGUGCCAGGUUUUCCAAGUUAGUAGGACUGGACUUUACAAACUCAGGCUGCCUCCCGCCGCUGCAGCUGGCAAACACGAGUGCCGCCAGUUCCGGCAAGGUCUCUUGGAAACUAGGCAGCCUUGACAGUUCUCUAAUGAUCGGCAACAUUUCCAUCACCCCCAGAAGAUAUGAUUGGCUGAACAUGACAUUGACAGACUUGGGGACUGAAGCCACAAGGAGGAAACUGCAUAAUGACUGAACUCAGAACAUUUAAGAACAAGAGGCUGAACACCCUAUCCUGUAUCACUGAGGACCAAGCUGUUUGAAAGGCCAUUGUCUCUCCAGUAAGCCUGUCUGGGCUUUAAGAUCUUUGAGUGAAAUAAACAAACCAAUAAAUAAAUA